AUUUCAAGAUUCUUACUUCUCAAAUUGCAGAGACUGUAAAUCCAAGAAUGCAGUUUGCAGCUUCAAUUCUUCAAACCCAAAAAAGUGAUUCAUCUAUUUUUAGCCUAAAUCUCGCUUUUCACCUCCUUGGAUUCACGAAGAUUAUUCAAAUCGAAUCGCCAUUUCAUGUUCAGUCUUCACAAUAUUGUGCUUAUUAUUCAUCAUUUUGCUUGUUGCAGCGACUACAAAUCUAGGUGCUUGAGAUCAUUAGCUAUUGAAAAAGACCCGACAACCUUAUUCCUUCCCCACCACCACUCUGUUAAUCUAUUUCCCCUUGUAUCACCUAUAAGGAGCUGGAAUCCUCCACCAACUGCUUCAACCUAAAGCCCAAAAUUGAUGAUGGUAGUUUCGCAUCUGUGUUCUUGGGCCAUCUCCAUGAUGGUCGAAUCAUGUCUAUUAAUUAAAUACCUGCAUAAACACACCAUAUCGCCACUAGUGGUAGAGCAAUUCUCAACAAUAUGUGCACUUUUAUGGGUUGCUCAAUAAAUCUGAACAGAUAGUGCCCAACAAAGCUAAGGGUGGGUGAUAGUGAUGUGCACAAAAGUGCAUGUUAGGCCUUUGGGAGCCGGAAAUAUAUUGUAGCUACGUGUCUAACAUUCCCACAAUGUGUAGCCUAUUGAUUUAUUCAGACAUGUUUAAGGCUGCAUGUCCUGGAUGUUUAAGCCAAUGGUGCAGAUGCCUCGAUCGAGUUCUUGAAAUUCAACUUCUUAGUUUUGUUGUUGAUUAUUUUUUGUUUAAAGGGUUUGGAUUAUUUGAUGAACAGAGAGAUAGAGAGCAUGUUAAUGAAUAGAAAGAUAGAGAGAGAGAAGGGAAGGAGAUGACAUGAGAGAGAAAUUGAAUGUUAAAGCCACGUAUCAAGAGGGAGAAGAAUUUUUUAUUUUGUUAAAGCCAACCUAGCAUAUCCACGUUAACUUUUGGCCAGAGUCUCCAUUAGAAACAGAUCAAAGGGAAUUAUGUUAUAUCAAAUUAAAGUUAUAGUACUUUUGUGAUAUAAAUUGGAGUAAUUAUUGAUAAACCAAUUUUAUAUAGGUAUUUUAGGGUAAUUUUACAUCCA
rnacentral:misc_RNA from 1 species